rnacentral:lncRNA from 1 species
CUGUAAGCUGUUGCUACAUCUCUCUCAGGCUUGGUGAGAUGCAGAAAACAUCUAGGUCCCCUUCCCAAGCUGGAGUUCAGGAUGAAUGACUGUGACAGUGUAUGGGACUGCAGCAGGAUAACUUUGAGAGAUGCAAGAAAGAUCCAUGGCCUGGGACACAGUGAUUAAAACCCAGGAGUCUUCAGCUGAACUAGAAUCAGCCAUCCUACUGAAAGAGUAAUUUCUCAUCACCACUAAAAUUUGAAAAGGGAU